rnacentral:tRNA from 1 species
GCCGGCCUUAGCUCAAUUGGUAGAGCAACUGACUUGUAAUCAGUAGGUUGGGGGUUCAAGUCCUCUGGCCGGCACCA